rnacentral:tRNA from 1 species
AGGCUAAUAGCUCAAUUGGUAGAGUAGCGGUCUCCAAAACCGCCGGUUGGGGGUUCGAGCCCCUCUUAGCCUG